rnacentral:rRNA from 1 species
UGAGGGAAGCAUGAGCCGGAAAAGGAAAGUCCGGUACAAGCGCAGCAGAGGACAGAUAGGCAAAUCCGUCUGUCAACUCGAGGGCGCGAUGUGGAGCGAACCAAAGUAGCGAAGCAUGUGGAGCUUGUGUCGAGAAAAGCCGCUAUAGUGUUUGAUGUACCCGUACCGUAAACCGACACAGGUGGAUGAGGAGAGAAUCCUAAGGCCGGCGGGAGAAGCAUUGUUAAGGAACUCGGCAAAAUGACCCCGUAACUUCGGGAGAAGGGGUGCUCCAGAGAUGGAGUCGCAGAGAACUGGCCCAAGCAACUAUUUAGCAAAAACACAGGUCUAUGCAAAACCGAAAGGUGAGGUAUAUGGGCUGACGCCUGCCCGGUGCUGGAAGGUUAAGAGGAGAUGUUGGCCGCAAGGUGAAGCAUUGAAUUUAAGCCCCAGUAAACGGCGGCCGUAACAAUAACGGUCCUAAGGUAGCGAAAUUCCUUGUCGGGUAAGUUCCGACCCGCACGAAAGGCGUAAUGAUUUGGACACUGUCUCGACAAUGCACCCGGUGAAAUUGAAAUACCAGUGAAGAUGCUGGUUACCUGCGCCAGGCCGGAAAGACCCCAUGGGGCUUUACUCUAGCUUGAUACUGGGGUUCGGUAUUGCAUGUACAGGAUAGGUGGGAGACUGAGAAGAUGUGUCGCCAGAUGCAUCAGAGUCGAUGUUGGGAUACCACCCCUGCAGUACUGGGCUUCUAACCUGCAGCCGUGACCCGGCUGGGGGACAAUGUCUGGUGGGGAGUUUGACUGGGGCGGUCGCCUCCGAAAGAGUAUCGGAGGCGCUCAAAGGUUCCCUCAGAAUGGUUGGAAACCAUUCGAAGAGCGCAAAGGCAGAAGGGAGCUUGACUGCGACACCGACGGGUGGAGCAGGUACGAAAGUAGGACUUAGUGAUCCGGUGGUAUGAAAGUGGGAUUGCCAUCGCUCAACGGAUAAAAGCUACCCUGGGGAUAACAGGCUUAUCACUCCCAAGAGUUCACAUCGACGGAGUGGUUUGGCACCUCGAUGUCGGCUUAUCGCAUCCUGGGGCUGUAGUAGGUCCCAAGGGUUGGGCUGUUCGCCCAUUAAAGCGGUACGCGAGCUGGGUUCAGAACGUCGUGAGACAGUUCGGUCCCUAUCCGGCGUGGGCGUAGGAUAUCUGAGAGGAGCUGUCCUUAGUACGAGAGGACCGGGAUGGACUGACCUCUGGUGCACCGGUUGCAUUGCCAAAUGCAUAGCCGGGUAGCCAAGUCGGGACGGGAUAAACGCUGAAGGCAUCUAAGCGUGAAGCCCCCCUCAAGAUGAGAUAUCCCAUAACAUAAGUUAGUAAGACCCCUUGAAGACGACGAGGUAGAUAGGCAGAAGGUGGAAGUGUGGUGACAUAUGGAGCUGAUCUGUACUAAUAGGUCGAGGGCUUAUCAAA